AUUGAACGCUGGCGGCAGGCCUAACACAUGCAAGUCGAACGUGUCGAGCGCGUGUGAGUAAUGUCUGGGACACUCCCCGAUGGAGGGGGAUACCUUCUGGAACCGGUGGCAAAUCCCGCUUACCAUCGGUUGUGCACAGAUGGGAGUAGCUGGUGGGUGGGGUAACGGCUAACCUAGGCGACGAUCCCUAGCUGGUCGGAGAGGAUGACCGGCCACACGGGAACUGAGAACCGGUCAAGACUCCAACGGGAGGCAGAAUUGGGGAAUAUUGGACAAUGGGCGCAAGCCUGAUGCAGCCAGGCCGCGUGGAGGAAGAAGUCCUUCGGGUUGUAAAGUACUUUCAGCGGGGAGGCGUUACCCACCCAGGAAGCAACGGCUAACUCCGUGCCAGCAGCCGCGGUAAUUC
rnacentral:rRNA from 1 species